AUUCCCUGUACAAUAGAAAGUAUUUUCUACCUCAUGUUGGCCAACUGGCCAAGGAGUCAAGUUGGACUCAGCUCUUAGGGCCAUUCAUUUCUGCCCAAGCUGUUUCUCUGGGUCUCCAUGGUUUCUAACUGAUAAUACACAGAAGCUCAGCAUCUCAGAAAUAUUUGGGUGCUGAUGCCAUUCUUGGAGGCUCAGAAUUGCCUCCCAGGCAAUGUUGUCUUAUGAGAAACUGCUUAUACCGUUAAGGGCAGCAUGAGGACCCUCUGUUGAAAGAUCAAGGCUGCUGUUUUAUACUUGACCCAGGCUAGAGAAUUUCACUGGUAGAGACUUUGUUAUGGAACCGUCCUGCAGGAGACGUCCCCAAGAGAUGUUUGCUUUUAACUCAGCAGCAGGACUAGGAGACUAUCAAGGACCUGAUCAUCUUGGAAUGGGCUGCUUCUGGGCAAUGGGGACCUGGCGGCAAGCCAAGCUGCUUUGCACCAGCAAAAAGAAAGAGAUGAAUGCCACACUAGAUUUCAGGCAUCAAAAGCAAGCAUAGGAUCUCAUGCACUGACCAGUCUCCUCUGUCCUAUGAUGAGGGAAGCUGAAAAGGGCAGAAGAAGAAUGGAAGAUGGAAAGUACAGAACAGUAUGAACGACAAUUUCUCCCCGAGAAGAAACCAAAGGAUGGGAAGGAGAAUCCAAGCAGAAAUGGUCUAAAGACUCACAGAUUUACUGGUAGAAGAUGCGAAAACCAAAAAUAUACAAAAGCAUUCAAACCAACAUUUAAAAAAAAAAAAAUUACUCCGCCUGCUCUGCUUCUUCCUACCAAACUUCACAAAUUUCACACAGUCAUCAAAAUUAUUUUUCUAGGUGUUCACAUUUUCCAAUUUACCAUUCCUAACUUAUUUUUGUAUUUCUUUUCUCUUUUCCAAGAUAUAAUAAAAUCCAAAGGAUGGUAGAAAUAUUUGAAGUUAAACAAUUAAAACUAAAGCAGAAUACUUGCAUGACCUACACCUGCACCAAAAUCUUUACAAAGACAAAAGUGACAUAAUUUUAUGUUGCACAUAAAGAUUUAUCGUAAGCUACCAUGGUGUAUAUAAUAUUGGAGUAUACAGUUUGCAUUUUUCUUAUCUUCAUACUUAUAUAUGAGUUUUUCUGUAAUGUAUUAAGUUAUGUAUAAAAGCAGAUAUGACUAAUGAUUAAAAGCUUCUUCCAUCUCA